AACGAACGCUGGCGGCAGGCUUAACACAUGCAAGUCGAGCGCCCCGCAAGGGAAGCGGCAGACGGGUGAGUAACGCGUGGGAAUCUACCGAGCCCUGCGGAAUAGCUCCGGGAAACUGGAAUUAAUACCGCAUACGCCCUUCGGGGGAAAGAUUUAUCGGGGUUUGAUGAGCCCGCGUUGGAUUAGCUUGUUGGUGGGGUAAAGGCCUACCAAGGCGACGAUCCAUAGCUGGUCUGAGAGGAUGAUCAGCCACAUUGGGACUGAGACACGGCCCAGACGCCUACGGGAGGGAGCAGUGGGGAAUAUGGGACAAUGGGCGCAAGCCUGAUCCAGCCAUGCCGCGUGAGUGAUGAAGGCGCUAGGGUUGUAAGGCUCUUUGACCGGUGAAGAUAAUGACGGUAGCCGGAGAAGAAGCCCCGGCUAACUUCGUGCCAGCCGCCGCGGUAAAAC
rnacentral:rRNA from 1 species